UGCCGGGCCUCAAAGUUUGGAGAACAGGGGAGCCAGGAAACACUUUAAGGUCCUGCCCCAGUAAAACUCCCCACCUGCCACUGUCCCAGGAGUAGACCACACCAAACACGAGGCGGAAGUUUGACACCAGAAUCCACUUGGGGCUCAGCUCCCAACCUCACCAGAUACGAACAUUUCACACAUAAAAAGACGCACCCUCAGAUCUCUUGUGUCUGAUUGGUCAGAGAUGUUGCACUGGUGGCAGAAGUGAUGCUACACAAUCAUUUCCGGUUUGGAUGCUGAGCUGUUUGAGUUUACGAGUCAUGACUUGCAUUGCUGUGAUGGACUUGCGACCUAUCCAGGGUGUACCCCGCCCCUCGCACUGUGACUGCUGGAUAUGGGCACCAGG